rnacentral:rRNA from 1 species
CCCAGACUCCUACGGGAGGCAGCAGUGGGGGAUAUUGCACAAUGGGGGGAACCCUGAUGCAGCGACGCCGCGUGGGUGAAGGAGCGUUUCGGCGCGUAAAGCCCUAUCGGCAGGGAAGAAGGAGGACGGUACCUGACUAAGAAGCCCCGGCUAACUACGUGCCAGCAGCCGCGGUAAUACGUAGGGGGCAAGCGUUAUCCGGAUUUACUGGGUGUAAAGGGGGCGCAGACGGCAGCGCAAGCCAGGAGUGAAAGCCCGGGGCCCAACCCCGGGACUGCUCUUGGAACUGCGCGGCUGGAGUGCAGGAGGGGCAGGCGGAAUUCCUGGUGUAGCGGUGAAAUGCGUAGAUAUCAGGAGGAACACCGGUGGCGAAGGCGGCCUGCUGGACUGCGACUGACGUUGAGGCCCGAAAGCGUGGGGAGCAAACAGGAUUAGAUACCCGCGUAAU